GAUGAACGCUGGCGGCGUGCCUAAUACAUGCAAGUCGAGCGAACAGACGAGGAGCUUGCUGCUCUGACGUUAGCGGCGGACGGGUGAGUAACACGUGGAUAACCUACCUAUAAGACUGGGAUAACUUCGGGAAACCGGAGAUAAUACCGGAUAAUAUUUUGAACCGCAUGGUUCAAUAGUGAAAGACGGUGUUGCUGUCACUUAUAGAUGGAUCCGCGCUGGAUUAGCUAGUUGGUAAGGUAACGGCUUACCAAGGCAACGAUGCGUAACCGACCUGAGAGGGGGAUCGGCGACACGGGAACUGAGACACCGACCAGGCUCCUAAGGGAGGCAGCAGUCGGGAACGGGACGCAGCGGGCGGAAGCAUUGCGGAACAACGGCGCGUGAGUGACGAAGGCCUUCGGAGCGUAAAACUCUGUUAUUAGGGAAGAACAGAUGUGUAAGGAAAUGUGCCCUGCGUGACGGUACCUAAUCAGAAAGCCCCGGCUAACUACGUG
rnacentral:rRNA from 1 species